rnacentral:rRNA from 1 species
AUACGUAGGGUGGCAAGCGUUGUCCGGGAUUUAUUGGGCGUAAAGCGAGUGCAGGCGGUCUUUAAGUCUGAUGUGAAAGCCUUCGGCUUAACCGAAGAAGGGCAUCGGAAACUGGGAGACUUGAGUGCAGAAGAGGAGAGUGGAACUCCAUGUGUAGCGGUGAAAUGCGUAGAUAUAUGGAAGAACACCAGUGGCGAAGGCGGCUGUCUGGUCUGUAACUGACGCUGAGGCUCGAAAGUAUGGGUAGC